rnacentral:misc_RNA from 1 species
UUUUUUUUUAUUAUUUUUUUUUUAGGGGAGGAGAAGAUGAGAGAGAAAAAUAGAGUCUGGAUAUUUCAAACAUUUACGAGUGUGUGGAAAUAUUCUCAUUUCAUGUAUAACUACUGCCCGAAAUUAGGGAUUUCGGACACAACUGUUAACAAAUCAGAAUUCAAUCAAGGGACCAAAUAGAAAGGUUAUAAAAUAACAUAGGCCAACUCGCGCAUUAUGACAAAUCUCAAUGGGAGUUUUAGUCUAUUAUCCUUAUAUUAGUUAGCAUGUCUUGAUAAAAUUAACAUAGUUUUAUCAAAGGGUGUAUCCUGUCACUGAAUCACCUGGACGCGUGUGUACACCUUUGGAA